rnacentral:rRNA from 1 species
AUUGAACGCUGGCGGCAGGCCUAACACAUGCAAGUCGAACGAGUGGCGGACGGGUGAGUAAUGUCUGGGAAACCGCCUGAUGGAGGGGGAUAACUACUGGAAAAGGUCGCUAAUACCGCAUUCCCUCAUAUGUCCCCAGAUGGGAUUAGCUUGUUGGUGGGGUAACGGCUCACCAGGGCGACGACCCCUAGCUGGUCUGAGAGGAUGACCAGCCACACUGGAACGGAGAAACGGUCCAGACUCCUACGGGAGGCAGCAGUGGGGAAUAUUGCACAAUGGGCGCAAGCCUGAUGCAGCCAUGCCGGGUGUAUGAAGAAGGCCUUCGGGUUGUAAAGUACUUUCAGCGGGGAGGCGUUACCCGCAGAAGAAGCACCGGCUAACUCCGUGCCAGCCGCCGCGGUAAUUC